GGAGGGUCAUAGCUGAGUGGUAGAGCAUCUGCUUUGCAUGCAGAAGGUCUAAGGUUCAAUCCCCAGCAUCUCCA
rnacentral:tRNA from 1 species